rnacentral:sRNA from 1 species
AAGGUAUGAAGUUCGAUUAAGAUCGGCACGUCCUGUGCCAACAUCGAACUGACCCUACUCUUAAGG